rnacentral:sRNA from 1 species
GCCAGGUGCAGUGGCGUACACCUGUAAUCCCAGUAACCGAGGAGGCCGAGGCAGGAGGAUUGCAGGUCUGAGAUCAGCCUCAGCAACUUAGUGAGGUCCUAAGCAAUUUAGAGAGACUCUGUCUCUA